UACGGGGGGGGGCAAGCGUUGUUCGGAAUUACUGGGCGUAAAGGGCUCGUAGGUGGCCAACUAAGUCAGACGUGAAAUCCCUCAGCUUAACUGGGGAACUGCGUCUGAUACUGGAUGGCUUGAGUUUGGGAGAGGGAUGCGGAAUUCCAGGUGUAGCGGUGAAAUGCGUAGAUAUCUGGGAGGAACACCGGUGGCGAAGGCGGCAUCCUGGACCAACACUGACACUGAUGAGCGAAAGCCAGGGGAGCAAACGGG
rnacentral:rRNA from 1 species